AGUGAACGCUGGCGGUAGGCCUAACACAUGCAAGUCGAACGGCAGCACAGGAGAGCUUGCUCUCUGGGUGGCGAGUGGCGGACGGGUGAGGAGUACAUCGGAAUCUACUCUGUCGUGGGGGAUAACGUAGGGAAACUUACGCUAAUACCGCAUACGACCUACGGGUGAAAGCAGGGGACCUUCGGGCCUUGCGCGAUUGAAUGAGCCGAUGUCGGAUUAGCUAGUUGGCGGGGUAAAGGCCAACCAAGGCGACGAUCCGUAGCUGGUCUGAGAGGAUGAUCAGCCACACUGGAACUGAGACACGGUCCAGACUCCUACGGGAGGCAGCAGUGGGGAAUAUUGGACAAUGGGCGCAAGCCUGAUCCAGCCAUACCGCGUGGGUGAAGAAGGCCUUCGGGUUGUAAAGCCCUUUUGUUGGGAAAGAAAUCCAGCUGGCUAAUACCCGGUUGGGAUGACGGUACCCAAAGAAUAAGCACCGACUAACUUCGUGCCAGCCGCCGCUGUAA
rnacentral:rRNA from 1 species